GACGAACGCUGGCGGCGUGCUUAACACAUGCAAGUCGAGCGGAAAGGCCUGCUUUCCCUUGUGGAUUGCGGGUACUCGAGUGGCGAACGGGUGAGUAACACGUGAGUGAUCUGCCCCCAACUUGGGUAUAAGCCUGGGAAACUGGGUCUAAUUCCCGAUAGGACUGCAGGGUGGUGCCUGUGGUGGAAAACGAUUUUCUAGUGGUUGGGGAUGAGCUCGCGGCCUAUCAGCUUGUUGGUGGGGUAAUGGCCUACCAAGGCGGCGACGGGUAGCCGGCCUGGGAGUGUGGACGGCCACAUUGGGACUGAGAUACGGCCCAGACUCCUACGGGAGGCAGCAGUGGGGAAUAUUACACAAUGGGCGGAAGCCUGAUGCAGCGACGCCGCGUGGGGGAUGACGGCCUUCGGGUUGUAAACUCCUUUCGACCGCGAGGAAGCCACCUGGUUGGAAGGGUGGUGACGGUAGUGGUAGAAGAAGCACCGGCUAACUACGUG
rnacentral:rRNA from 1 species